GAUUUGACUACAGGCUGAUGCAGAACACGAUGUGGCGGCAGGGCAGCCAAAGAAGAGAACGUUCAAGAAGUUCAGCUUCAGAGGUGUGGAUCUUGAUGCGCUCCUUGAUAUGUCCACAGAUGACCUCGUCAAACUCUUCACUGCCCGAGCUCGCAGAAGGUUCAAGAGGGGUUUGAAGAGGAAGCCUUUGGCCUUGA